AACUAUUCUAUAGUGGUUAACGCGAUGCCCUGCUAUUAGUCAGACUAAAGUUUAGGCAUUUCCUUCGGGAGCGCAGGUUCGAAUCCUGCAGUUGUCG